rnacentral:lncRNA from 1 species
GCUGCUUUUUGGGUGGACUCAAGCAGAAGAUGAAGUAAUGCAGAGCACUCUUUUGCGGAACAAGGGUGCUCUGGGCUAAAUCAGGUAUCCUGAAAUUUGCAUUCGAGAUUGAAGGGUCACCUAUUCACCUUUGGGAAUCCCAGAUGUAUGUUGAAGCAGGUGCCCAGCCUAUUGGACUAUAUCUGAUAUGACUGUAACCUGGAAAGAGAGGAUCCACUGAAGUUGUAAAUGAGGUAUCUACAUCUCUUCAAAAAAGUUUCCAGUGACUGAUGCGGGAAAUACGAUACUAUCUGCAAAAAAAUGACGAGGAAAAUUCUACACCCACCCCAGAAACUGUGGCUUAAUACAGGAGCAGCAAUAAGGUGAAAGAAACAUUCUUUUGAUCACAUAGGCCAGAAAACACGAGGUUUUGGCUUAGCAUGUUUACAGGACAGUGACAACCUCCAAUGUCUCCUGCAAAGCUCUAUAAGAAGAGUUAUCUAUUUUCACUCCAGACCU